rnacentral:rRNA from 1 species
AUACGGAGGGAGCUAGCGUUGUUCGGAAUUACUGGGCGUAAAGGGCGCGUAGGCGGAUAGACAAGUUGGGGGUGAAAGCCCGGGGCUCAACCCCGGAACGGCCUUCAAAACUGUUUAUCUAGAGACCGGGAGAGGAAAGCGGAAUUCCCAGUGUAGAGGUGAAAUUCGUAGAUAUUGGGAAGAACACCAGUGGCGAAGGCGGCUCUCUGGACCGAUACUGACGCUGAGGUGCGAAAGCGUGGGGAGCAAACAGGAUUAGAAACCCCAGUAGUCC